rnacentral:rRNA from 1 species
UACGAAGGGUGCAAGCGUUAUUCGGAAUCAUUGGGCGUAAAGGGCGCGUAGGUGGCGACCCAAGUCUGUGGUGAAAGCUCGCCGCUUAACGGCGAGUCGGCCACGGAUACUGGGUGGCUCGAGCACUGUAGGGGCAGAUGGAAUUCCGGGUGUAGCGGUGGAAUGCGUAGAGAUCCGGAAGAACACCGGUGGCGAAGGCGGCCUGCUGGGCAGUAGCUGACGCUGAUGCGCGACAGCGUGGGGAGCAAACAGG